rnacentral:rRNA from 1 species
UGGUGGAGUGAUCUGUCUGGUUAAUUCCGUUAACGAGCGAGACCUGGGCGUGCUAAAUAGGGUUCAUUAUUCUUGUAAUAGUGGUUCAACUCUUCUUAGACGGACUGUAGGCUUUUAGUCUAUGGAAGCUCCAGGCAAUAACA